rnacentral:lncRNA from 1 species
CAAAAAAGAUCAUAGACAGACACUAAUCUUAUAAUGUUCUGUCAGAUUCUUAUUUGGGAACAUUGUCCCUUGCUGCCUCCUUGGUUCGAAAAGGCGUGUGGCGAGAAGAAGCGAAGAGACUGGCGCUUAGCGCCUAGCGCCACGGCGCCACAAAGCAAGCGCUUCAUGUAUCCUGCAAUAAGAAGGUAAGUUCCUAGACCUUCUAUAUGUAUAUCAUGCUGCACAACUGAAAAAACCAAAUCCAUAUAAUAAAAUUCAAAGAUUCUUAGAGCAAAACACAACUGAAAAUACCAAAUGCAAACACCAAAUUAAAAAAAAAAACCAAAUUCAAAAGCAAAUGAAACACCAGUAGACAAAGCUCUACUCUGAUUCAGAAUCCUCAUACUCCAAUUCCCUGUCAUAGCCAACACCUUCCUCGCCUUCAAUGUCAUCCUCUUCAUCAACCAACUCCAACUGAGAAGGUGAUGGACCAUAGCAUUUCUUCUGAGUUGAAGAGCUUGCUAUUCCUUUUCCUUUGUCGUUUUUAGCUGAAGUAGGAGUCUUUGCUCCUCUAGUAGUGUAGCUUGGCUCUUCAGCUCCUACUGCCUCACUCACCAUGGUCCAAGGCAGCCUGCCUCUAAAAGAAACUUAUGCCAUCUCCUAUAGCAAGAUUGUUAAAUGGACCGAGAAUAUGGGUUGGUGGUGCAUGUAUAAAGAAGGGCUUUAGGGGAUGGCAAAUAAGAGCAUGCGGCUCAGUCUU